rnacentral:lncRNA from 12 species
CAGCAAGCAAAAAUAUUUUUUUACAGCAUCCUCUGUGAAGCAAAUGAACUUUCAUAAGGCUGCAUGACUUUAGGCUAUGCAGAAGGUAUGUGUACAGCCCUGGGAGAGGAAUCUGUGAGUGUUGUGGGCAGCUGAAAAGCCUGGUAGACAUUGGGCAUCACGUAGGAUCGUGGCAAAGCCGUGGCAGGGUGGUCGGCUUUGACAACUAACAACGUUGCGAGGCUUUGACAGAAUAAGAACUUACAUGUGGUGUCAAUCAUUCCCCACAUGCCACCUCCAAUUUGUCUUGCUGGGAGAGGACAGCCGUCCCCAGCGGCAUCUGGAGUGCAGCUGCCGAUGUCACAAUGUCACCAAGGACACGGCGGAGCCGAGCGUGGGGCUGGGCUGGGCUGGGGGCUGCCAGGGACAGAGGGGACAGAGGCUCUGAGGUGUCCCCUCCUCUGCAGGACGUGGCCCCAGGGCGGGCGGAGGGCAGAGCUGCAGGUGGCAGAGGCCGAGCCGUGGCUCCAGCAGGUUUUCAGUUUAGCUUUAGUAGGAGAAACUUGUGCCUAACAACAACACUGCAAUGUGGCCAAGUCUUCAGAGAUUUUUCCAUUUUGCCAAUAAGUCUUCCCUGAAAAGCCAACCUCAGAUUCCAUUCUGGGCUUUCUCGUUUUCAAGGCCUCACUCCAUGUAAGCCAUGAAAACUAAUGUUUGGACACAGCAUUUUGCCUUAAAGAGGUAUUUUU